GUUGAAACUCCUGUUCCCGUACGAUCACCAAAUUUAAGCAACAUCGAGCGUGGUCACUACCUUGAUGGGUGACCGUUUGGGAAUUUCACGUGCAGUAAG